CGGGAUGGAGCAGCCCGGUAGCUCGUCAGGCUCAUAACCUGAAGGUCGUAGGUUCAAAUCCUACUCCCGCAA
rnacentral:tRNA from 1 species